AUUUAAAUAGUUUAUUAUAAAAUAUUGAUUUGUGGUGUCAAUGAUAUGAGUUACUCAUUUUAGAUC
rnacentral:tRNA from 1 species